rnacentral:misc_RNA from 1 species
GAUGAAGAACGUAGCGAAAUGCGAUAAGUAAUGUGAAUUGCAGAAUUCAGUGAAUCAUUGAAUCUUUGAACGCACCUUGCGCCCUUUGGCUAUUCCGAAGGGCAUGCCUGUUUGAGUAUCAUGAACACCUCAACUCUCAUGGCUUGCCAUGAUGAGCUUGGACUUUUGGGGGUCUUGCUGGCCUGUGGUCAGCUCCUCUCAAAUGAAUUAGCCUGCCAGUGUUUGGUGGCAUCACAGGUGUGAUAACUAUCUACGCUUGUGGUUUUCCACCAGGUAACCUUCAGUGAUGAAGGUUCGCUGGGGCUCAUAAACGUCUCUCCUCAGUGAGGACAGCUCUUUGAACGUUUGAUCUCAAAUCAGGUAGGACUACCCGCAGAACUUAAGCAUAUCAAUAAGCGGAGGA